rnacentral:rRNA from 1 species
CCUGUGGUAGGAGAGCGUUCUGUAGGCCUGCGAAGGCAGAUUGUGAAGUCUGCUGGAGGUAUCAGAAGUGCGAAUGCUGACAUGAGUAGCGAUAAAGGGGGUGAAAAGCCCCCUCGCCGUAAGUCCAAGGUUUCCUGCGCAACGUUCAUCGGCGCAGGGUGAGUCGGCCCCUAAGGCGAGGCAGAGAUGCGUAGCUGAUGGGAAGCUGGUUAAUAUUCCAGCACCGUCGUAGAAUGCGAUGGGGGGACGGAUGGCAGAAGGUCAUCGGGGUGUUGGAUGUCCCCGUUGUUGCACUGUAGAAGGCGCUUAGGCAAAUCCGGGCGCGGAAUUCAAGGGUGUGACUGGAUAGGACUUCGGUCCUAAACUGAUUGGAAGCUGUUCCAAGAAAAGCCUCUAAGCUUCAGUUCUACGAGACCGUACCGCAAACCGACACAGGUGGACGGGAUGAAUAUUCCAAGGCGCUUGAGAGAACUCAGGAGAAGGAACUCGGCAAAUUAAUACCGUAACUUCGGGAGAAGGUAUACCCCGGUAGUGUGAAGGGCUCGCGCCCUG